GUGCUCAUUUGGCAGCACAUGUACUAAAAUUGGAAUGGUACAGAGAAGAUCAGCACAGCCCUUGUGCAAGGAUGACAUGCAAAUCUACGAAGUAUGCCCUAUCUUU
ensembl:snRNA U6 U6 spliceosomal RNA